GGCUUUUGUUUGUUACCCCAUUCAAGGUACCACUGCUGCCGGGAUGGGGGGACAAUGGGCUUUCUCUUCACUGAAACACAGCCCCUAAUGUCAGCACGCAGGACCACAGCUACUGAAAGUCUUAAUGUUGUCACAGUAAGCAUCUUUCUUGAGAAGCGGCGAGAAGGCCCUGAAAGCUUUGCUUCUUUUGUAAGCUAACAACAAAAGAAGGAAGUUGCCUGGCAAGAUCCUGGCUGCAACUCACAUCUUCAAGAACUCAGCUAUGUCAUAGUGCCAUCUGAAUAGCCCCUGGGAUUAAACAGCAGCAAGGGACUAGAAACACAAGAAGCAGCCACCCUGUUUGGGCAGGGAACCUAUGCUGGUGAUGAAUGUAUUUUUCAGAUGGGACUGAGUUUAUGAAGAUAGAUGGAGAAGGGGGAAGCUUUUCCCUCAUAUUCCAGUGAGGGAGUUCUACUAGUUUUACUAGUUCUCCCUAGUUUUACUAGUUCUCCCUAGUUCUACUAGGGAACAGAGGCAUGGCACUUACUGCCCAGGGGCAGGGAGGAGCUAGCAGUUCCGCAGAGUCCUUUGCACUGUGAAACUUGACCAAUGCAGUUAUCAGAUGAUUUCCAUUGAGAAACUGCUCGGAGAAUCAUCCUAGCCUUUACCUACACCACUAUUCACUCAACAGAGAGUUCUUCAUUAAGUAGCCAAGAGAAGGUAGAAGCCUCACCUGGACCCGUUACAUCGUAUACGAACUGGUUGGUCUGUAGCACUUAGAAAACAUGGUCCCAGCAUUCUUUCACUUAACUACUUUGGCCUAUGGAAUAUGAUGGAGAUGUCAGUAGUUACUUUCUAGUUAGGUCACAAAUGAGAAAAGCAGGUUCUGCCUUGUGUCUGGAGAAUGCCACCCGGGAAGGGUGUGUCCCUGUGGGAGGAACCUGUGGAUGGAAGAAGCCAUGGCAGGAGGAAAGAAAAGUCUGUGAAAGGCCACACGCAAGCUUCCCAACAGACCCAGAAACACCAAGAAGAACGUUUGGCCAAACGCUGGGAGCCGUGAUCCAGCUUUGUCGACACCAACUCAGGAACCAACCCGAAGCUCCUGAUUUAAAGCAGUGGCUCACUGAAGAAGCACUUACUGGUGAUUUCUGCACAUUCCUUAUUCUGGAGAGUACCAGGAUCAGGAGGAUGAAUUAAACACUCUCUCAAGCAGGCUCCAGGCAGGAUGGAGACGCAAAAGUAUUUAAGAAAUGAAGAAGUGACAGUGUG
rnacentral:lncRNA from 1 species